AAUGAACGCUGGCGGCAGGCCUAACACAUGCAAGUCGAACGGAUCCUUCGGGAUUAGUGGCGGACGGGUGAGUAACGCGUGGGAACAUACCCUUUGGUACGGAAUAGCCUCGGGAAACUGAGAGUAAUACCGUAUGUGGUCGAGAGACGAAAGAUUUAUCGCCAAAGGAUUGGCCCGCGUUGGAUUAGGUAGUUGGUGGGGUAAUGGCCUACCAAGCCGACGAUCAAUAGCUGGUUUGAGAGGAUGAUCAGCCACACUGGGACUGGGACACGGCCCAGACUCCUACGGGAGGCAGCAGUGGGGAAUCUUAGACAAUGGGGGAAACCCUGAUCUAGCCAUGCCGCGUGAUCGAUGAAGGCCUUAGGGUUGUAAAGAUCUUUCAGGUGGGAAGAUAAUGACUGUACCACCAGAAGAAGCCCCGGCUAACUCCGUGCCAGCCGCCGCAGUAA
rnacentral:rRNA from 1 species